rnacentral:rRNA from 1 species
GAUGAACGCUGGCGGCGUGCCUAAUACAUGCAAGUCGAGCGAACGGACGAGAAGCUUGCUUCUCUGAUGUUAGCGGCGGACGUGUGAGUAACACGUGGAUAACCUACCUAUAAGACUGGGAUAACUUCGUGAAACCGGAGCUAAUACCGGAUAAUAUUUUGAACCGCAUGGUUCAAAAGUGAAAGACGGUCUUGCUGUCACUUAUAGAUGGAUCCGCGCUGCAUUAGCUAGUUGGUAAGGUAACGGCUUACCAAGGCAACGAUGCAUAGCCGACCUGAGAGCGUGAACGGCCACACUGGAACUGAGCCACGGUCCAGACUCCUACGGGAGGCAGAAGUAGGGAAUCUUCCGCAAUGGGCGAAAGCCUGACGGAGCAACGCCGCGUGAGUGAUGAAGGUCUUCGGAUCGUAAAACUCUGUUAUUAGGGAAGAACAUAUGUGUCAGUAACUGUGCACAUCGUGACGGUACCUAAUGAGAAAGCAACGGCUAACUACGUG